UUUUGGUAUAACAUUUCACACUUUGUUGGAGAUCUAUCUUCCCUGAAGCUUUUCUGGACCUUUCCAAGCAAGAAAUACUGACAGGCUACAAAGAUAAAGAAAGCCUCCUCUCCCCAGAGAGUGGUAAAUCCAGAGCCAUUUGCCUACAUUCCAAAGGCUUGUAAAAACCCAAAGAAGAGAGCUUCUGCCUUUCCUGGUGGAUUUGUGUUUACGAAUGUUUACCUUCCAUCUCCAGAGCAGAAGGGAGGAGAAGAUGUGCCGGAAGCAUCCGUCUGCGCUCCACAGUUCUGGAGCUCUUCCCUGUGAAAGAGCAUCUACCUGCCUCACCAUCUGAGUCUUAUUGUUCUGCCCCACGGGAAACUGACAGUGGGGAAUUGGUAAUAAGACUGCUAUCUGAGAAAAGGGCUCUGUUCCCUGGUCCAUAUGCCUGGUGUUUCUAGGCAGGAUGAAUAAACGCAUAGAGACCCCAAAACGUCAAGGUAUCUUUUUCUAGUCUUAGUUUAUUUGCAACUGAUUUAUUUCACUUAGCAAAAUGUCCUCAAGGUCCAGCUAUGUUGUAAUCUGGAUCAGAAUUUCUUUUCUUUUUAAAAAAAUUGUGCUGAAAUAUGCAUAAUGUGAAAUUUGCCCUAUGACCGUUUUUAAGCAUACAGUUCAUGGACAUCGAGUGCACACGUGGCUGUGCAGCCAUCACUCCUCCCAUGGGACAGAACUCUUUUCAUUUGCAAAAUUGAAAACUCUGUGCCCACUGAACCAUAAUUCCCCAUUCUGCCCUCCCCCAGCUCAUUCCUUCCUAAGGCUGAAUAAUAUUAAAUCCACUGUAUGUACACAGCACAUUUCAUGUAUGUACAAUGGAUCCAUUCAUCUUUGAUAGACACUUGCCUGGCUUCCUCCUUUUAGCUAUUGUGAAAAAUGUUGCUAUGAAUAUGAUAUAUAGAUAUCAGUGAGUCCCUGCUUUAUUUAUGCUAUCAUUUGACAGGAAAAAAAAAAAUUCAAACAUUUUUUAUUUUGUCAUGCUUUCUUUUUCCUUAAAUACUUAAUUCAUGCCCAUUUUUGUUGCCAUAGUCUCUAUUUGUAUUCCUAACCUCGCUUAUUUGUACUUUAGCUCUAGAAUUAUUACCUAGUAAGCUGCUAGGUCGAAGAUCCCUGUGGAUUGACACAGCUGAUGUGUGUUUUGCUCUUCCAAGUCCGAUGUCGAUUUCUCAAACAUGCAGCUCCCUUUAUAAUGGCAUUUCUAGGAUACAGAUUUUUCUGUCAGGUAGUUUCAAUUCCUCCCAGAAUCCUUCAGGAACGUGGCGGUCUCCACAGGGUCAUCUGGCCAGAAGUUUCAGAGGUUCAGUUCGUGGUGGGCCAACUCCAUAGCUCUGGCCCCGGGGUGGAGCUGAGCAUCAUGGCAGAAGGGCCUGGAAGAGGAAAUCAUCUUAGAACAAAGCCACCAGGAAGCAGAGAGCAGAAAAUAUAUAUUUUUUUUCCUUUAAAUUUCAGCACAUUCACUUUUAUCCCCCUUUUCCUUUAUGGUCAGUGUUUUCUUUUAAUAUCCUAUAUAACAUUGUUUUUGAAAUGUAGUAUGCUUGCUCUGUGGCCCUCCACGCUUCCGGUUUCUGGUUCUUAAGGUUUCGAUGCUGCUCUGACUGAGGCUCCAGACCCACACUGCCUGAGUGGGCAAGCACAGAACUCAAUGGCUGAUGCCACUUUAGGGGACAGACAUCUCCUCUACCCACCUUAGUCCUUAUGUGGGGUUCUUGGGUUGGAUCUAGGAACCAAAUUAAUGCAAGGAAAGUACACGUUUUGGGUUUUUGUUUUUUUUUUUAAUUUUACAUAUAUGUAGGGAUCUUUACAAGUGAAUGAAGUCUGAGGAAAUGAACAGAGCACGAUGCUUAUACACCUUUUUGUAAGCAGCAACUAUUUUUUCCUUAAAUAUAUAUAUUUAGAACUUUUCAAUUAUAAUUUUAAUACAUAUUAAUCGUACAAAUCGAUGGAAUUCAUUUUGAUAUUUUUAUUAUGUAAAGCCCAUAUUUUAUUGGUAUCUUCUUCGUUUUUACUGAAUGUACUUUCUUCUUUAAUAUAGUCUUUAUCUGUGACAUAUAUAUAUUUUAUAUAUAGUCUUUAUCUGUGACAGUUUCUCGGGUGUCCCUUGUUUUCGAUGAUCUUGACAGCCUUCAAAAACUAUUGAACAGACAUGUUGUGAAAUGC
rnacentral:lncRNA from 1 species